ACCUGCAACAACAGUGGGUUCACCUCCAAUGGGAUUAAGUAAAUAAACAAAGACAUUUAAUUAUCUUUGAGAUGUAUAUGCUUCCAGACUGGUCCGUUUAGGAGCUGUAACUUUGAAAUGUACAUGAUUGAUUGCCACAGGUCUUCCACAAUAACAACAGGAAUCAUGAUAAGCUCUCUCACUUGGGUCACCAACUCAACUGCAGAUGACAAUACGAAGUUCUCAGUGCACAUCGUCUUUAUUGUCAUUCUGGGGAUAGCUGGAUUACUGUUGCUACUGGUAAUGGUUGGUGUGGUUACCCGGAUAUUCUACAAGGCUAGUGGGUUGCAUAGGGUAUCAAGAGAAAAUAACAAUGUGACGCCUGAGGUUAACCUGACAUACAGUACUGUGGCCUUGAAGAAAGAAACCGACAACCGCAGACAAGCCCAGGGUUCCACAGCAUCUGCAUCCACUAACAGCCCAGACUUGACCCCCAGCUCUGUGCCAAGUUCUAUAGAGCCUCAGGACCCUGCUGGUGUUGCUGAUGUGGUCUACAGCUCUGUAGCAAGAAGGCAAUGACAGGGGUGUUAUGACAAAUUGUGUCCAGCAGAUGGCAAUCAACGCUAAGAAUGGAAAAGACCGGGCCAAUAAAGACACAGAGAUGAACCUAAGGAUUUACUGAAAAACUUGGGGUUACACUUUACACUGAAGUGCCCUUGUUACAUUGUAACGGCAAUGCAGUGUAUUUUAUAAAAUAUGUAAUUUUGCAUAAUUACAUUGUACAGCACACACAUAUUUUGUACUUAAGGGUUGAAGUCAGGGAAACUGGGCCAUAUAAAGUUGAAGUGACAUAUCUCUUUAAGGUUCAAUCACAGCCAAUCACUGCUGUUUUAUUUAUACUGUCACAAUACCUCUUGACAAUGUAUGAACUGAUUUGAUUGGUCAGAGAUACAGACACAGAUAGGUGAAGUGCCUUGGCAUCCUCUUUCUUAGGUGAAAAUUAAGCUUGGCAUACUGUAAUGAAACAAAUAAACCACUAAAAGAACUGCGUGUUUGUUACUGCUGUCAGUAACAGUACUGCUGUUGACUGUAAUGCUGUGUAUUCAUAAUAUGGAUGGGUAAUUAACCGUUUACAAAGCUGAGCCGCAUUCAUACCACCUAAUUUAUGCAACCACAUACUAACACUGCUAUUUUUAAGUAUGAGAUUAAAUAAAAAUACAAUAUUUUAUUUUAUUUAUUUCAGUGGCCCAUUUUAGCCUAAUGUAAGGCAUUUUUUAUCUGAUAAACACCAUGUUGACUCAGAAGGAGACAUCCCGUGUAUAAACAGCUCUUGAGCUGAAAACAUUACAUUUUGCUUCCUGUUUUCAAAAUAGACUGGAGGUGAACUGACUCAUUGCACUGAGUGGACUUCUGGUUUCCAUGCACACUUCAGUUGCGUUUAGGGACGAUCUAAGACUCUUCACCAAAAAGUGGCCCAGUGUAGCUGACUUCACCCCUACUUGCUUUAGAGUGAGAUACAUGUACGUCUACUAGGGUAUAAAUGUGCUUUUAAUCACUAACAGUUUGUGUGUUCCCAUGUACUUAAUGUCACAUACAUAAUAUAAGAGUUUUUUUUUGUUGUGCCCACAGUGAUGAACUCUCAAGCAAAAGCUUUCUAAUAGGUAUUUAAAGAUUAAAAUGUAUUUUAAUUACUUGCUUGUUGUGAA
ensembl:lncRNA